rnacentral:rRNA from 1 species
GGAAGGAUCAUUAUUGAAAUAAAUCUGAUGAGUUGUUGCUGGUUCUCUAGGGUACAUGUGCACGCUUGUCACCUUUAUAUUUCCACCUGUGCACCUUUUGUAGACCUGGAUAUCUAUCUGGAUGCUAGCCAUUCGGGAUUGAGGAUUGACUUCAUGUCUUUUCCUUACAUUUCCAGGCCUAUGUUUCUUCAUAUACCCCAAUGUAUGUCAUAGAAUGUAAUCAAAUGGCCUCUGUGCCUAUAAACCUAUACAACUUUCAGCAACGGAUCUCUUGGCUCUCGCAUCGAUGAAGAACGCAGCGAAAUGCGAUAAGUAAUGUGAAUUGCAGAAUUCAGUGAAUCAUCGAAUCUUUGAACGCACCUUGCGCUCCUUGGUAUUCCGAGGAGCAUGCCUGUUUGAGUGUCAUUAAUAUAUAUCAACCUCUUCAGCUUUUGCUUGUCGAGUGUUGGAUGUGGGGGUCUUUUUUUUGCUGGUCUUCUCAGGUCAGCUCCCCUGAAAUGCAUUAGCGGAACAAUUUGUGGACCGUUCAUUGGUGUGAUAACUAUCUACGCUAUUGACGUGAAGCAGUUCGGCUUCAAACAGUCCAUUGACUUGGACAAAUUUUCAUUAGUGUGACCUCAAAUCAGGUAGGACUACCCGCUGAACUUAAGCAUAUCAAUAAGCGGAGGAAAAGAAACU